rnacentral:siRNA from 1 species
UCAUUGCAGAGGAAAUGAAUAUGA